GGGCUUGUAGCUCAGCUGGCUAGAGCGCACCCCUGAUAAGGGUGAGGUCGACGGUUCGAGUCCGUCCAGGCCCA
rnacentral:tRNA from 1 species